AGGUUCGUGUUCACUUGCGGAUCCCACCACCAGUCGCUCAGGCGGCAUACAUCGCUGGUCCAGAGAAAUGUCCUAGGGACUAAUUCUGGGGCGAGACUCGAGAGUCCGCCGAAACGCAUGCGAAGCGAUGGACCCCCGGUUAGCCGGGGGCUUACGGUACAUGCUACCGCCCCGACGAGACAAGUCGGGGCGACGAGUGAGGUGAACCUGCGGAAGGAUCAUUAAUAGAGACCCCCGGGUGCUCUCGGGCACCCGGACCCUCUCCACCCAUGUUUAUGUUACCUAGUUGCUUUGGCGGGACGAGUCCUGGACUCCGCCGGCUUCGGUCGACGAGCGCCCGCCAGAGGUCUACCCAAACUCUGUUAAACUUUGCGGUCUGAACAACUAUUUAAUAGCCUAAAACUUUCAACAACGGAUCUCUUGGUUCUGGCAUCGAUGAAGAAACGCAGCGAAAUGCGAUAAGUAAUGUGAAUUGCAGAAAUUCAGUGAAUCAUCGAAUCUUUGAACGCACAUUGCGCCCUCUGGUAUUCCGGGGGGCAUGCUUGUUCGAGCGUCAUUAUCACCCUCAAGCUUUGCUUGGUAUUGGGAGCGCCCCCGCGAGGAGGCCUCCCGAAAGGCAGCGGCGAUGCGGCCGGGCUCUCUAGUGCAGUGACUUUUAUUUCGCUAAUUGGGACCCGGGCGUUUUGGCCGGACAACACCAAAAUCUUUCAAGAUUGACCUCGGAUCAAGUAGGGAUACCCGCUGAACUUAAGCAUAUCAAUAAGCGGAGGA
rnacentral:rRNA from 1 species